rnacentral:tRNA from 1 species
GGGCGUGUGGCGAAAUUGGUAGACGCGCUAGAUUUAGGAUCUAGUGAAGCGAUUCGUGGGGGUUCGAUUCCCUUCACGCCCA